CAAGGAAAUCUAUCAGAAAGAGACUGUAAAUUACAUAAUCCUAUGAUGAGAUCCUGUGGUUCCUGGGCUGCUGAGGACAUGUGGCAGGGACAAAGAGAAGCAAGCUGGGUAUCUGUGGGCUUAGACUCCCAGUACAGAUGUGCAUGCUGCCACUGGGAAUAUUUAAAGGACUGCAGAUCAAAAAAGGUGGAGAACUAUGCACUAUCUUAUGAAAGGCAGUCUCUUUAGUCCAAGCUACCACCUCUUAGAUAUGAAUAUGCUACUUCCAAUUAAACUCUGCCUACUCUAUCAGGGUUGGCUUGUUUAAUCAUACAGUCAGUGGUGCUUUCUAAGUGCAAAGAACACCACACGGUCAUUUUUUAAGAGUGAAAUUCAAAUUAGACACUUCUGGGGAACAGCUUUAUUUUGUUUUUAUAAUUACCAUCCUCUUCCUUCUCUGUUCAUUCAGUCAUAAAGGUGAGUCCCCCACUAAAUGAUAAAUCAGUAACAGUUUUCAGAUUACACAGAUGCUUAGCAAGUGUCAACUGCAUAUGCAUUUGAAUAAUUUAAAAUAGGAGUAGCUCUUUUCACCCUGUUGUUCAUAUGACAUCAUUAACUUUGGUCAGGCCCUCCUAGGCACCAGGAUAAAAGUCAGUGUGUAAAGCCCAGUUCUGUUUUUUCAGAUGUUUCAAUUAGACCCAUGAGCAGGAACAGCUGACAUCACUUAAUUCAGUUCUCUGAUGUAUCACUCCAGCAUCUUGUGUCUUAAAUGGAGAUUACAAGGAGAUGGAACAUAAGCCUAGAUGUUCCGAAUCCAAUACAAGACUUAACAUCUCUUAUAAAAUAAAAAUCAAAGCUGCCUGAGUUUGAUGUGACACAUCUCUGAUAUUUUCUGCCUGCUGGAAUGAAACUGAGCUGACCUACUAGGGGAUGGACUAAGAAGGAGUAGCUGUUUCAAGCCCUACCUGCCGCUUCGCCCCCUCACUCUUUUCCAGCUCCGUGUGCUGCUGCAGGCGGUGAAGGCACUCUGUCCUCUCUGCCGACAGUCGCUCGGCCAUGAGCUUGUCCAAAACUCGGAGCUGUGGGGGAAAACACAGUUCAGCUGAGAUCAUCAUGUUAGAAACCAAACUCCCAUCUGUGAACCCUGUAAAUCAAAGUACAGUCUGUCUUUCAGUCUUCAUUUCUAGAAAUGCUGCCAACUACAACUAGAUGUAGCUUGCAAAGAGGCUCAGUCACAAAAUUACCAAUGAAUAACUAUUAAAUUAAAAACAAAAAGUAAUUUAGAGGAUCUUGAAUCUCAAUACAUACAUAAUUCAGCAAGAGGGAUUUUGACGAUUAUGAAAUGAUCAGUCACAGACCAGCCUUCUUUCCCUCUUAAUGGCUCAAGCCUUUAAGAUUUGUUGUCCAAAGAAGCACUAGAAGCCACUUAACACAUUAAAUGUGUUUUUUCUCAAGACCCUAGUUUGCAACAUCAGUUCCCAGUGGAAUGUCACAGUUCCCUGGACUUGAGUAUUAGAAUUCAGGUUUGCUUUUACAACACAAGAAGCAAAAAAUUAAUCAUUACGAUGAAAAUAUUAUUUAAGUUUAGGAUAUAUUUCUAAAUCAUAGGCAAGCAGAACUUCAGGUCAUGUUCUUACUUGAUGUUGAGUUUUGCUUUCCAUCUGGCCCAGCUUAAUAUUCAUUUUAUCUUGUACUGUCCCAAGUUCAGCUUUUAUCUCUUCCACUGUUGCCUCCAGCUGAUUCUCCAGUUUAUUUAUCAGGGGCUCACAACGACAUCCAUUUAUGGGUGCCUGAAAGGAGUGAUGAUGAGACAUUUACUUGCUACACCCCAGCACCCUCUUAGAACACUUGGAACAUAUCACAGCCUCCUUCAGUCUUGGGUUCUUCUAUCCCAUGUUCUGUAUCUCCCCUCCUGACACCAGCUCAGCAAAUGGACUGUUAGUUAAAAAGCACAGCUUACACAGGGGUUCAUUUGAUGUGUCACACACACUAACAGCAGUGUUGAUUUCACUGGGGCUACAAGCAGCACUGAGCUCAGACCCUGUGUGCUGGCUGAUGGAAUACCACAUUACAGACCUAUACCCCAUGUCUCAAUGCUGUAAUUCUCAGUUGUAAACAUUUGAUUUUGUGGAUGGGCGUGGGUUGUGUGCAUUUGCUUUUUAACCUAAUGCCAAUCCUAUGCUCUGUCCUUUUCCAGUACUGGAUGGCAAGGCCUCGCUGCUUCUCUUUGCCCUCACCCUCCUGGCAUUCAAUUGCUGGGCACUCCUCUGCCUGCCUUUGACUCAUGUGACACCAUCCCAUGGCCCCUCUGCAAGGGCAGCUGCACUGACCACAUUUAAAUCUCAGGGAGAUGGGCACAAAAGGCUCUCUUAAGCAAGGACAGCUAAACCUCAUCAGUUUCCUCUGUAGCCCAAAAGCAGAAAGUGGUUCCUUCAGGAGCUGUGCCAGUAGCCCAAAGCAGCUGCUCUGAAUCUGUCUGCAGAGGAGCCUCCCUCUCUUCUUUAGCCCCACAGCAAUGUUUCAUAAAUUGGGGGUUAUUCCCUUGGCACGGAAAGGUGGGUGGUUUUCUGAGUACUAAAGAAAGCUUCAGAAGUACAUGUACUUCAGAAAUUAUGUUUGCUAUUCAUGGCCUCAGGGCAUCAAAGAAGACAGACAAGCAAAAUAGAAAAGGAGAGAGGAGUGUCAUGUAUUUCAGGAAAUACUGUAUGGGAGUCUAGCUCUAUUAAGGUAAUCUUUGUGAAUAGGUAAUAUUUGUAUACAAGUCCUGUCUGCUUUCUGCACCUCUCUACUCCCCAAGUCCUUCUGCACCUCUCUGCUCCUUUGUCCCUUUAAUGUAUGAAAGGUCCCUCAGCCUUCCUGAUGUCUGCUAUAGGAUAAUUCCAUAGUGCCCCUGUCUGGAUUUCUCAAACAUUAAAUGGAGAGGUUGGAAAGCAGUAAACAGCCAGUAAAACCUUAGAAGUCUGACUUGAAUGGGCUUCAGAGUCUGCUGAAAUUCUGAACUACAGGAGGGACUGACAAGAGCUGAUGGAUGGAUGGAUGCGAGAAGUGAAGGAAAUUAAAGGAUAGAUCUUCCAGCGGUACAGGAGGGCAAUAUUAAGAAAACAACAAUACAGAUGUUUACAGUGUCUACAGGAUAAUUUAAUGACUGUUUUUAUGCUUUCUUAUAAAUGUCUACUGGUAAUUAAUUGUGUAAUAAAGUGACUAAAAUAUAAUUCUUAGAACUGGAAUAAAUGCACAUGGCCUGGCA